UACGUAGGCAGCAAGCGUUGUUCGGAGUUACUGGGCGUAAAGGGUGUGUAGGCGGUUCUUUAAGUUUGGUGUGAAAUCUCCCGGCUCAACUGGGAGGGUGCGCCGAAUACUGAGGGACUAGAGUACGGGAGAGGAAAGUGGAAUUCCUGGUGUAGCGGUGAAAUGCGUAGAUAUCAGGAGGAACAUCGGUGGUGUAGACGGCUUUCUGGACCGUAACUGACGCUGAGACACGAAAGCGUGGGUAGCAAACAGG
rnacentral:rRNA from 1 species